UAGCCAUUAAUAUACUAAAUCAUAUGUACAAUUGAUUGUCCGUAAAAGUUCUUCAAAAAAAAAAAAAAUUGAUUGUCCAUGGACAGAACCAUGUAUUCAUACGCAUGUGGUGUGUAAUACUGUAUAGUCAAAUGUCCCUUUUAUAUUAUACUUUGUUUAGCAUUUUUCAUAAAUUAUAAACAUAUUAUAAUAAAUUAAGAAUGCUAGUAUCCAUAUUUUAAAAAGAUUUGUAUCAUUCCCACGUACGCCAUCGAGCUCAUACAUCGCUUUUUGCGAAACCCAAUGGAAUUUCAACUCUAGAAAAAUAUUUUACAUUCAUGUAAUUCCAAAUUUUUGCAGCUAUCACAGUAGCUAGUGAUUAUCGUUCUACUGGUAUAUGGAUAUCGUUGUUACUUAUUAGAUGCACCAUAUAUAUAACAGCGGAAUUCACGUAGCAUUUAAAUUUCUAGGACGUCGAACACAUUUC
rnacentral:lncRNA from 1 species